AGUGAACGCUGGCGGUAGGCCUAACACAUGCAAGUCGAACGGCAGCACAGUAAGAGCUUGCUCUUACGGGUGGCGAGUGGCGGACGGGUGAGGAAUACAUCGGAAUCUACUUUUUCGUGGGGGAUAAUGUAGGGAAACUUACGCUAAUACCGCAUACGACCUACGGGUGAAAGCAGGGGAUCUUCGGACCUUGCGCGAUUGAAUGAGCCGAUGUCGGAUUAGCUAGUUGGCGGGGUAAAGGCCCACCAAGUCGACGAUCCGUAGCUGGUCUGGGAGGCUGAUCAGCCACACUGGAACUGAGACACGGUCCAGACUCCUACGGGAGGCGGCAGUGGGGAAUAUUGGACAAUGGGCGCAAGCCUGAUCCAGCCAUACCGCGUGGGUGAAGAAGGCCUUCGGGUUGUAAAGCCCUUUUGUUGGGAAAGAAAAGCAGCAGGUUAAUACCCCGCUGUUCUGACGGUACCCAAAGAAUAAGCACCGGCUAACUUCGUG
rnacentral:rRNA from 1 species